UCCCUCUUAGCUCAGUUGGUAGAGCGCGUCACUAGUAUCUACGAAUAUUCCAAAAAUUUAUGACGAGGUCAGUCGUUCAAAUCGGCUAGCGGGAA